GAUGAACGCUGGCGGCGUGCCUAAUACAUGCAAGUCGAGCGAACAGAUAAGGAGCUUGCUCCUUUGACGUUAGCGGCGGACGGGUGAGUAACACGUGGGUAACCUACCUAUAAGACUGGGAUAACUUCGGGAAACCGGAGCUAAUACCGGAUAAUAUUUCGAACCGCAUGGUUCGAUAGUGAAAGAUGGUUUUGCUAUCACUUAUAGAUGGACCCGCGCCGUAUUAGCUAGUUGGUAAGGUAACGGCUUACCAAGGCGACGACACGUAGCCGACCUGAGAGGGUGAUCGGCCACACUGGAACUGAGACACGGUCCAGACUCCUACGGGAGGCAGCAGUAGGGAAUCUUCCGCAAUGGGCGAAAGCCUGACGGAGCAACGCCGCGUGAGUGAUGAAGGUCUUCGGAUCGUAAAACUCUGUUAUUAGGGAAGAACAUACGUGUAAGUAACUGUGCACGUCUUGACGGUACCUAAUCAGAAAGCCACGGCUAACUACGUG
rnacentral:rRNA from 1 species